CGCUACAUUUCCGCUAGCGCCCCAACACGAUUAAGCGUUAAAAAGAUGUAGGAGAAUAUUUAAGUUCAUGCUAAGGAUUCAUAAUUGUUCAUAUUGUCGUUUCAGGCUGCCUAGCGUGGACGAAAAGCUUCGACUAAAAUCUAUUUCGUAAUGUCAUUGCAGGUUGCCCACUUCUUGGACAUUCCGUGGUUGGUGGAUCGUGCGUGUAAGCUUCUGGCAGAGUUUGUCGAGGAAAAUGGUCUUGAUGAGAUACGGGAAGCUCUUGGUAACCGGGAUGACUUCUCUGAGUUAGAACAUCAAUGGUUUUGCAGGGUCGGAUUUCAAGGUUCCGAGAAGGCAAUCUCCAUAAAAUGCCAAAAUCUAUGGCGUCAAUUUGACAACCUGGCGAUGAAAGAAGGCA
rnacentral:lncRNA from 1 species